rnacentral:rRNA from 1 species
AGCGAACGCUGGCGGCAGGCCUAACACAUGCAAGUCGAACGAACCUUUCGGGGUUAGUGGCGGACGGGUGAGUAACACGUGGGAUCGUGCCUUUAGGUUCGGAAUAACUCAGGGAAACUUGUGCUAAUACCGAAUGUGCCCUUCGGGGGAAAGAUUAAUCGCCUUUAGAGCGGCCCGCGUCUGAUUAGCUAGUUGGUUGAGGUAAUGGCUCACCAAGGCGACGAUCAGUAGCUGGUCUGAGAGGAUGAUCAGCCACAUUGGGACUGAGACACGGCCCAAACUCCUACGGGAGGCAGCAGUGGGGAAUCUUGCGCAAUGGGCGAAAGCCUGACGCAGCCAUGCCGCGUGAAUGAUGAAGGUCUUAGGAUUGUAAAAUUCUUUCACCGGGGACGAUAAUGACGGUACCCGGAGAAGAAGCCCCGGCUAACUUCGUG